rnacentral:rRNA from 1 species
AGUCGACGGCAGCGCGGACUUCGGUCUGGCGGCGAGUGGCGAACGGGUGAGUAAUAUAUCGGAACGUACCCAGGAGUGGGGGAUAACGUAGCGAAAGUUACGCUAAUACCGCAUACGUCCUAAGGGAGAAAGCAGGGGAUCGCAAGACCUUGUGCUCAUGGAGCGGCCGAUAUCUGAUUAGCUAGUUGGUGGGGUAAAAGCCUACCAAGGCAACGAUCAGUAGCUGGUCUGAGAGGACGACCAGCCACACUGGAACUGAGACACGGUCCAGACUCCUACGGGAGGCAGCAGUGGGGAAUUUUGGACAAUGGGGGCAACCCUGAUCCAGCAAUGCCGCGUGAGUGAAGAAGGCCCUCGGGUUGUAAAGCUCUUUUGUCAGGGAAGAAAAGGCUGUGGCUAAUAUCCACGGCUCAUGACGGUACCUGAAGAAUAAGCACCGGCUAACUACGUGCCAGCAGCCGCGGUAAUACGUAGGGUGCAAGCGUUAAUCGGAAUUACUGGGCGUAAAGCGUGCGCAGGCGGUUUUGUAAGACUGUCGUGAAAUCCCCGGGCUUAACCUGGGAAUGGCGAUGGUGACUGCAAGGCUAGAGUUUGGCAGAGGGGGGUAGAAUUCCACGUGUAGCAGUGAAAUGCGUAGAUAUGUGGAGGAACACCGAUGGCGAAGGCAGCCCCCUGGGUCAAAACUGACGCUCAUGCACGAAAGCGUGGGGAGCAAACAGGAUUAGAUACCCUGGUAGUCCACGCCCUAAACGAUGUCAACUAGUUGUCGGGUCUUAAUUGACUUGGUAACGCAGUAACGCGUGAAGUUGACCGCCUGGGGAGUACGGUCGCAAGAUUAAAACUCAAAGGAAUUGACGG